rnacentral:tRNA from 1 species
GAGGGAUUAACUCAGUGGCUAGAGUACUAAACUUUUAAUUUAGGAGUCGACAGUUCGAAUCUGUCAUCCCUCA